UACAUGCCCUUGACCGGAAUCGAACCUGGGUCCCUUCAGUCCCCAAGCCGUCGCUCUAUCCAUUGAGCCAAACCGGUUAGGGCAAGGUAGAAUGAUUUUAUAUUUAACCAUAGUGUACUAUUUUAGAAAAAUGGGAAUUGGCUUACAUGUAUUAUACAAUUUGGAUAUAGAUUUCCAAAUAUUUCAGAUGAAAAUUACUGACAGGUACUGAUUGCUU